AUGAAAAAAAAGUUUCAGUUAAUUGUUGAUAAUCAGAGAAGACAAUCACUGAUGAUACCAAAGGAGAGACCAGAAGCAGAGCCAGUUCGCAGGUGGAGAUGGAACAUUGCCUCCUAUGAACCAGAUCAUCGUGAAGUGUCACAUGACAGCCCAGGGACGUGAAACGUGGCCUGCGAAUGAUGUGAGAAGCUGAUGGGCCAGGACUUCAGGACGUUUACUGGAGGAGCUUAUGGGCCACAGGAGUUGUGAUGUUUCAGAGUGAGCCGCCUCCAUGCUGUUGAAGUAGACCUAGGUUCCUGACGCAGGUGUUUGUCCACAGGAUGAAGAACAGUUCUAUUUUGAACAGUUAUUUGUUGGGGUUCACGGCUUCUCAUGGCACUGCAUUAUCCUUCGCAUGCAAAGAUGAAAUAAGAACCCAA